GGGUACUCGCGGUGUUUCCUCUGUAGGGGUGCUCUUCCAGACAGGGUGAAAAACUCGGGAGUCGAGCCGCUGGUCUUCCAUACUGGAAUGUGCCAGAUGGCGGGACUGACAGAGUUUCUUCGUUCGGGGUACUCAUUCAGGUAGGGUGAUAAAAUCAGAGUAGAGCCGCCGGUUUUCCAGAUUGGAAGGAGCCAGAUGGGGGUACUCGCGGUGUUUCCUCUGUAGGGGUGCUCUUCCAGACAGGGUGAAAAACUCGGGAGUCGAGCCGCUGGUCUUCCAUACUGGAAUGUGCCAGAUGGCGGGACUGACAGAGUUUCUUCGUUCGGGGUACUCAUUCAGGUAGGGUGAUAAAAUCAGAGUAGAGCCGCCGGUUUUCCAGAUUGGAAGGAGCCAGAUGGGGGGACUCGCGGUGUUUCCUCUGUCGGGGUGCUCUUCCAGACAGGGUGAAAAAUUCAGGAGUCGAGCCGCUGGUCUUCCAUAUUGGAA